AUGCUGCUGCAGUUUUUUCUUUUUUUGCAACAAAUAAAAAUACGAAAACACUACCGCCUACACGUGUGGUCGUCUAGCAACUCGCCCACACGCAUGGAUCCUCGUUCAACCAAUUCUACACGAAUCUUGGCGCGUUCUAGCAGUUUUUGUGUGCCACGUAGGACUAAGCUGGUGUGUGGGCAUUCAUCCGGUCGCCCACACGUUCUUUUUCACCACACGGGGGCUGGUGUGUGGGCGUUUAGCAAUUCGCCCACACAUCAGUUUUCACGCACGCAGAGGGGGCUGGUGUGUGGGUGUUUAUCACUUCGCCCACACGCCCGUCUCCUCGCCACACCCAAAGCUGUCAGUUGA
rnacentral:rRNA from 1 species